rnacentral:rRNA from 1 species
UACGGGAGGCAGCAGUGAGGAAUAUUGGUCAAUGGGCGGGAGCCUGAACCAGCCAAGUAGCGUGCAGGAUGACGGCCCUAUGGGUUGUAAACUGCUUUUAUACAGGGAUAAAGUGAGGGACGUGUCCCUUUUUGUAGGUACUGUAUGAAUAAGGACCGGCUAAUUCCGUGCCAGCAGCCGCGGUAAU